rnacentral:rRNA from 1 species
AACGAACGCUGGCGGCAUGCCUAACACAUGCAAGUCGAACGAGAUCCUUCGGGGUCUAGUGGCGCACGGGUGCGUAACGCGUGGGAAUCUGCCCUUAGGUUCGGAAUAACAGUUAGAAAUGACUGCUAAUACCGGAUGAUGACGUUAAGUCCAAAGAUUUAUCGCCUGAGGAUGAGCCCGCGUAGGAUUAGCUAGUUGGUGUGGUAAAGGCGCACCAAGGCGACGAUCCUUAGCUGGUCCGAGAGGAUGAUCAGCCACACUGGGACUGAGACACGGCCCAGACUCCUACGGGAAGCAGCAGUGGGGAAUAUUGGACAAUGGGCGCAAGCCUGAUCCAGCAAUGCCGCGUGAGUGAUGAAGGCCUUAGGGUUGUAAAGCUCUUUUACCCGGGAUGAUAAUGACAGUACCGGGAGAAUAAGCCCCGGCUAACUCCGUG